UGGGGAAUUUUGGACAAUGGGCGAAAGCCUGAUCCAGCAAUGCCGCGUGUGUGAAGAAGGCCUUCGGGUUGUAAAGCACUUUUGUCCGGAAAGAAAUCCUUGGCUCUAAUACAGUCGGGGGAUGACGGUACCGGAAGAAUAAGCACCGGCUAACUACGUGCCAGCAGCCGCGGUAAUACGUAGGGUGCAAGCGUUAAUCGGAAUUACUGGGCGUAAAGCGUGCGCAGGCGGUUUGCUAAGACCGAUGUGAAAUCCCCGGGCUCAACCUGGGAACUGCAUUGGUGACUGGCAGGCUAGAGUAUGGCAGAGGGGGGUAGAAUUCCACAUGUAGCAGUGAAAUGCGUAGAGAUGUGGAGGAAUACCGAUGGCGAAGGCAGCCCCCUGGGCAAUACUGACGCUCAUGCACGAAAGCGUGGGGAGCAAACAGGAUUAGAUACCCUGGUAGUCCGCGCCCUAAAACGAUGUCAACUAGUUGUUGGGGAUUCAUUUCCUUAGUAACGUAGCUAACGCGUGAAGUUGACCGCCUGGGGAGUACGGUCGCAAGAUUAAAACUCAAAUGAAUUGACGGGGUCAUAGCUGUUUCCU
rnacentral:rRNA from 1 species